GUUUUCCGCCGGCGACCGGCGCACGGGUGCGGAACGCGUAUGGAACCUGCCCCUGUCAGGGGAAUAGCCCAGGGAAACUUGGAUUAAUGCCCCAUGGUACCGAUAUAUCCGCAUGAUAUUUUGAUUAAAGAUUUGUCGGACAGGGAUGGCCAUGCGGACCAUUAGUUAGAUGGUGAGGUAACGGCUCACCAUGGCAGCGAUGGUUAGGGGCCCUGAGAGGGGGAUCCCCCACACUGGUACUGAGACACGGACCAGACUCCUACGGGAGGCAGCAGUGAGGAAUAUUGGACAAUGGUCGGGAGACUGAUCCAGCCAUGCCGCGUGCAGGAUGACUGCCCUAUGGGUUGUAAACUGCUUUUAUACGGGAAGAAACGCACCUACGUGUAGGUGUCUGACGGUACCGUAAGAAUAAGGACCGGCUAACUCCGUGCCAGCAGCCGCGGUAAUACGGAGGGUCCGAGCGUUAUCCGGAAUCAUUGGGUUUAAAGGGUCCGUAGGCGGGCCUGUAAGUCAGGGGUGAAAGUUUGUGGCUCAACCAUAAAAUUGCCUUUGAUACUGCAGGUCUUGAGUCAUGGUGGGGUUGCCGGAACAUGUGGUGUAGCGGUGAAAUGCAUAGAUAUCACAUAGAACACCGAUCGCGAAGGCAGGUGACCAACCAUGUACUGACGCUGAUGGACGAAAGCGUGGGUAGCGAACGGGAUUAGAUACCCCGGUAGUCCACGCCGUAAACGAUGGAUACUAGCUGUGGGGACUUCGGUCUCCGUGGCCAAGCGAAAGUGAUAAGUAUCCCACCUGGGGAGUACGUUCGCAAGAAUGAAACUCAAAGGAAUUGACGGGGGCCCGCACAAGCGGUGGAGCAUGUGGUUUAAUUCGAUGAUACGCGAGGAACCUUACCAGGGCUUAAAUGCAGGCUGCAUGGGGUAGAGAUACCCCUUUCUUCGGACUGCCUGCAAGGUGCUGCAUGGUUGUCGUCAGCUCGUGCCGUGAGGUGUCAGGUUAAGUCCUAUAACGAGCGCAACCCCUACCGUUAGUUGCCAGCAUGUCAAGAUGGGGACUCUAACGGGACUGCCGGUGCAAACCGUGAGGAAGGUGGGGACGACGUCAAAUCAUCACGGCCCUUACGUCCUGGGCCACACACGUGCUACAAUGGCCGGUACAGAGGGAAGCCACCCCGCAAGGGGGCGCGG
rnacentral:rRNA from 1 species